UACGAAGGGUGCAAGCGUUACUCGGAAUCACUGGGCGUAAAGCGUGCGUAGGCGGUUCGUUAAGUCUGUUGUGAAAGCCCUGGGCUCAACCUGGGAACUGCAGUGGAUACUGGCGAGCUAGAGUACGGUAGAGGAAGGUGGAAUUCCCGGUGUAGCGGUGAAAUGCGUAGAGAUCGGGAGGAACACCAGUGGCGAAGGCGGCCUUCUGGACCAGUACUGACGCUGAGACGCGAAAGCGUGGGGAGCAAACAGG
rnacentral:rRNA from 1 species